UGCAGAAUCCCGCGAACCAUUGAGUCUUUGAACGCAAGUUGCGCCCGAGGCCUUCCGGUCGAGGGCACGCCUGCCUGGGCGUCACGC
rnacentral:rRNA from 1 species